rnacentral:rRNA from 1 species
UACACGCUGGCGGCGUGCCUCAGACAUGACAAGUCGAACGAUUAAGCUCUCGUUCGGAGAGUGUAUAGAGUGGCGCACGGGUGAGUAACACGUAAGUAAUCUACCCUCGAGUGGGGAAUAACAACCGGAAACGGUUGCUAAUACCGCAUAAUGCAGCGGCACCGCAAGGUGACNGUUGUUAAAGAUUUAUCGCUUGAGGAGGAGCUUGCGGCAGAUUAGCUAGUUGGUAGGGUAACGGCUUACCAAGGCUACGAUCUGUAACCGGUCUAAGAGGACGGUCGGUCACACUGACACUGAAUAACGGGUCAGACUCCUACGGGAGGCAGCAGUCGGGAAUUUUGGGCAAUGGGCGAAAGCCUGACCCAGCAACGCCGCGUGAAGGAUGAAGUAUUUCGGUAUGUAAACUUCGAAAGAAUAGGAAGAAUUAAUGACGGUACUAUUUAUAAGGUCCGGCUAACUACGUG